rnacentral:rRNA from 1 species
GCUACUAAGAGCUUAUGGUGAAUGCCUUGGCGCCAAGUGCCGAUGAAGGACGUGGGACACUGCGAUAAGCCUCGGGAAGCUGUGUACAAGCGUCGAUCCGAGGAUCUCCGAAUAGGGAAACCAACCGUUGCGAACCAACGGUGUCCUCUUACUGAACACAUAGGUUUGAGGAUGGGAACCUGGGGAACUGAAACAUCUAAGUACCCCAGAGGAAAAGAAAUUAUUCCCCCAGUAGUGGCGAGCGAACGGGGAACAGCCCAAACCGUCUCUGCUUGCAGAGACGGGGUUGUAGGACCGGCAAUACGGAAGUUACAAAAUGAUCAGUUAGCGGAAAGGUGUGGGAAAGCCUGCCAAAGAGGGUAACAGCCCCGUAUGCGAAAACUGAUUGUCUUCCGCCGUGUUCCUGAGUACUGCCGGGCACGCUAAUCCGGCAGGAAUCUAGGAGUCCACUCUCUAAGGCUAAAUACACUUGGCGACCGAUAGUGAACUAGUACCGUGAGGGAAAGGUGAAAAGUCCCCCUGUUAGGGAGUGAAUAGAACUGAAACCAUAAGCUU